AACGAACGCUGGCGGCGUGGAUAAGACACGCAAGUUCGAACGAGAGAAUCGCUAGCUCGCUAAUAAUUCUCUAGCGGCGCACGGGCGAGUAACACGCGAGUAACCCGCCCCCGAGAGCGGGAUAGCCCCGGGAAACUCGGGAUUAAUACCGCAUAGUAUCGAAAGAUUUAAAGCAGCAAUGCGCUCGGGGAUGGGCUCGCGGCCUAUUAGUUUAGUUCGGUGAGGUAACGGCUCACCAAGGCGAUGACGGGUAGCCGGUCUGAGAGGAUGUCCGGCCACACUGGAACUGAGACACGGUCCAGACACCUACGGGUGGCAGCAGUCGAGAAUCAUUCACAAUGGGGGAAACCCUGAUGGUGUGACGCCGCGUGGGGGAAUGAAGGUCUUCGGAUUGUAAACCCCUGUCAUGUGGGAGCAAAUUAAAAAGAUAGUACCACAAGAGGAAGAGACGGCUAACUCUGUGCCAGCAGCCGCGGUAAUACAGAGGUCUCAAGCGUUGUUCGGAAUCACUGGGCGUAAAGCGUGCGUAGGCUGUUUCGUAAGUCGUGUGUGAAAGGCGCGGGCUCAACCCGCGGACGGCACAUGAUACUGCGAGACUAGAGUAAUGGAGGGGGAACCGGAAUUCUCGGUGUAGCAGUGAAAUGCGUAGAUAUCGAGAGGAACACUCGUGGCGAAGGCGGGUUCCUGGACAUUAACUGACGCUGAGGCACGAAGGCCAGGGGAGCGAAAGGGAUUAGAUACCCCUGUAGUCCUGGCAGUAAACGGUGCACGCUUGGUGUGCGGGGAAUCGACCCCCUGCGUGCCGGAGCUAACGCGUUAAGCGUGCCGCCUGGGGAGUACGGUCGCAAGAUUAAAACUCAAAGAAAUUGACGGGGACCCGCACAAGCGGUGGAGUAUGUGGCUUAAUUCGAUGCAACGCGAAGAACCUUACCUGGGCUUGACAUGUAAUGAACAACAUGUGAAAGCAUGCGACUCUUCGGAGGCGUUACACAGGUGCUGCAUGGCCGUCGUCAGCUCGUGUCGUGAGAUGUUUGGUUAAGUCCAGCAACGAGCGCAACCCCUGUUGCCAGUUACCAGCACGUGAAGGUGGGGACUCUGGCGAGACUGCCCAGAUCAACUGGGAGGAAGGUGGGGACGACGUCAGGUCAGUAUGGCCCUUAUGCCCAGGGCUGCACACGUACUACAAUGCCCAGUACAGAGGGGGCCGAAGCCGCGAGGCGGAGGAAAUCCUGAAAACUGGGCCCAGUUCGGACUGUAGGCUGCAACCCGCCUACACGAAGCCGGAAUCGCUAGUAAUGGCGCAUCAGCUACGGCGCCGUGAAUACGUUCCCGGGUCU
rnacentral:rRNA from 1 species